rnacentral:rRNA from 1 species
GGGUUGUGAGGUUAAGCGACUAAGCGUACACGGUGGAUGCCCUGGCAGUCAGAGGCGAUGAAGGACGUGCUAAUCUGCGAUAAGCGUCGGUAAGGUGAUAUGAACCGUUAUAACCGGCGAUUUCCGAAUGGGGAAACCCAGUGUGAUUCGUCACACUAUCAU